CUUCCGGGUCCGGAACGGCUCCAGCUGUACGGACUCGUCCCGAGGGGAGCCGGGGACGGCGGCACCGGGCGGGUAGGGACAAGACUACCGCGCGUGCCCCCGCCUGGUGGCAGCCCCUCUCUGCGUCCCUCGCGGCCUGGCAAAAUUACAUUCGGCCGAGAGUUCACGCUGGGGAAGCUCUCUGAAUGCCUCUGAGAAGCGAGAUCCGGCGCCAUCUCACCGACGAGCCUCCCCUUUACCGCCCCGUGCGUUUCCUCAGCACUUUAGGAACUAAAGCCUGUCUGGGUAGCUCCCUAACAGGCUCUGGAGCUCAAUCCCUGGGCAGGGAAAAGGGGGUCCUCGGGGCUCCCCGCUCGCUGUCCUUUUUCUGGACAGGCAGUUCCUUGGCCACCUGGUAGGGCCGCGUUGCCUGGCAACGGCGGGGUCCUUCUUGGCUCGGCGGCGCUCGGGGCCUGAGGGGAGAAAACCGCCGCGGAGGGCGCUGGGGGUGGCGGCGGCGGUCCGGGAGGUGGUCGCGCGACUGCGUGGAGCGCCAGGGCGUCCGACCUCUGCACCUGAGAGAAGAUGAACACGGCCGACCAGGCCCGGGUGGGGCCCGCGGACGACGGGCCUGCGCCGUCUGGGGAGGAGGAGGGAGAGGGGGGCGGCGAGGCGGGCGGGAAGGAGCCAGCAGCGGACGCGGCCCCGGGGCCCAGCGCUGCAUUCCGCCUCAUGGUGACUCGGCGGGAGCCGGCCGUGAAGCUGCAGUAUGCGGUGAGCGGCCUGGAACCGCUGGCUUGGUCCGAGGACCACCGCGUGUCUGUGUCCACGGCCCGCAGCAUCGCUGUGCUGGAGCUCAUCUGCGACGUGCACAACCCGGGCCAGGACCUGGUUAUCCACCGCACCUCGGUGCCCGCACCGCUCAACAGCUGUCUCCUCAAAGUUGGCUCAAAAACAGAAGUUGCUGAGUGCAAGGAGAAAUUCGCCGCCUCCAAGGACCCCACGGUCAGUCAGACUUUCAUGUUGGAUAGGGUGUUCAACCCUGAGGGGAAGGCUUUACCACCAAUGAGAGGAUUCAAGUACACCAGCUGGUCUCCCAUGGGUUGCGAUGCUAAUGGCAGGUGCCUCUUGGCAGCACUGACCAUGGACAAUCGCCUGACCAUCCAGGCAAAUCUCAACAGACUGCAGUGGGUCCAGCUGGUUGACCUGACUGAGAUCUAUGGAGAACGUCUUUAUGAGACCAGUUACAGGCUCUCUAAAAAUGAGGCCCCGGAAGGAAAUCUCGGGGAUUUUGCUGAGUUUCAGAGGAGACACAGCAUGCAGACCCCAGUCAGAAUGGAGUGGUCGGGCAUCUGUACCACCCAGCAGGUCAAGCAUAACAACGAAUGCCGGGACGUUGGCAGUGUGCUCCUGGCUGUCCUCUUUGAAAACGGUAAUAUCGCCGUGUGGCAGUUUCAGCUGCCGUUUGUAGGAAAAGAAUCCAUCUCUUCAUGCAACACAAUUGAGUCAGGAAUCACCUCUCCCAGUGUAUUGUUUUGGUGGGAAUAUGAGCACAAUAAUCGAAAAAUGAGUGGCCUUAUUGUGGGGAGUGCUUUUGGACCCAUAAAAAUUCUUCCUGUCAAUCUCAAAGCAGUCAAAGGCUAUUUCACUUUAAGGCAGCCUGUUAUCUUGUGGAAAGAAAUGGACCAGUUACCUGUGCACAGUAUCAAAUGUGUGCCACUUUAUCAUCCUUACCAGAAGUGUAGUUGCAGCUUAGUAGUGGCUGCAAGAGGCUCUUAUGUAUUUUGGUGUCUUCUUCUGAUCUCCAAAGCAGGGCUGAAUGUUCACAAUUCCCAUGUCACAGGCCUUCACUCACUGCCAAUUGUCUCCAUGACUGCAGACAAACAGAAUGGAACAGUCUAUACUUGCUCCAGUGACGGAAAGGUGAGGCAGCUGAUUCCCAUUUUCACAGAUGUUGCAUUGAAGUUUGAACACCAGUUGAUUAAACUCUCAGAUGUGUUUGGCUCAGUGAGGACUCACGGGAUAGCAGUGAGCCCCUGCGGUGCAUACCUGGCCAUCAUCACCACUGAGGGCAUGAUCAACGGCCUCCACCCUGUUAACAAAAACUACCAGGUCCAAUUUGUUACUCUCAAAACCUUUGAAGAGGCAGCUGCUCAGCUCCUGGAAUCUUCAGUUCAAAACCUUUUUAAGCAGGUAGAUUUAAUAGACCUAGUACGCUGGAAGAUUUUAAAAGAUAAACAUAUCCCUCAAUUUUUACAAGAAGCUUUGGAAAAAAAGAUUGAAAGCAGUGGAGUCACCUAUUUUUGGCGUUUUAAGCUUUUCCUCCUGAGGAUUUUAUAUCAGUCAAUGCAGAAAACCCCUUCAGAAGCCUUGUGGAAACCCACCCAUGAGGACUCAAAAAUCUUACUAGUGGAUUCGCCUGGGAUGGGCAAUGCUGACGAUGAACAGCAGGAAGAAGGCACUUCUUCCAAACAGGUGGUGAAGCAAGGCCUGCAGGAGAGGAGCAAGGAAGGAGAUGUAGAGGAGCCCACUGAUGACUCGCUCCCCACGACUGGAGAUGCUGGAGGCCGUGAGCCAAUGGAAGAGAAACUCCUGGAAAUCCAAGGGAAAAUCGAAGCUGUGGAGAUGCACUUGACCAGGGAACACAUGAAGCGAGUCUUAGGAGAAGUGUAUCUGCACACCUGGAUCACAGAAAACACUAGCAUCCCCACCCGCGGACUCUGUAACUUUUUAAUGUCUGAUGAAGAGUAUGAUGACAGAACUGCACGGAACUCUGAAAUCCUUGUUUCAGAAGCAACUAAAACAAGGUGCUGAUUGGACAUAUCUCAAAGAAGAUGAACAAACAGACUUUCCCUGAGCACUGUAGUUUGUGUAAAGAGAUCUUGCCAUUCACAGAUCGCAAACAGGCAGUCUGUUCCAAUGGCCACAUUUGGCUCCGGUGCUUCUUAACCUACCAGUCCUGCCAGAGUUUGAUAUAUAGAAGGUGUUUGCUCCAUGACAGCAUUGCCCGGCAUCCAGCUCCAGAAGAUCCCGACUGGAUUAAGAGGUUACUGCAAAGCCCCUGCCCUUUCUGUGAUUCUCCUGUCUUCUAAAUAAUCAGUGACGGGAAGAUGGAAGGGCAUGAUGAACUCUGCCAUAGAAAACUUCCUCCAGCCUGAAGAGAAGGAUGCACUGGAGGAAGCCGGACCCUCACGAGUGGAGAGAAGUCCUUGGUGAUUGUAAAGAGGGCCCCUGGAGCUCAUUUCUGAAUCGCACUCUCCAUUUCCAGAGACUAAAGGAUGUCCUUUGAAAUGGCUGGACUCAGAGAGUUGGAGUCGUUUUGAGAUGAGCAUUAGCCCCAGCUUUGUAACCAAUGAGGAACACUUACUUAUUUUUAAGUAUCUUGACAGAAGCAAUUUGAACACAGUGUCCCGUCAUUUCUAGAAACAGAAUGGUCUCUUCUAGAGAGCUUGGAUAAGGACCUUGCUGGGUUGAGUUAGGUUUUAAUCCUUGCUUUGGUUUGGAACUGCCUUCGGGCUCCAGAACUUAAAUUGCUUGGUCCGUGGCAUCUGAUGUACCAACAGAGAUUAAAAGUGUAAAGCAACACAUGGGCUGAUGUUUUGUUCUCAGAAAAUAGCUGCUGGUCUGCAUCCCUCCAUUCUUGUUUUUUAUGCAUAUGGAAAACAUUUUCCUAAAACUCUAUAUUCUUAAGUUGAAGCCAAGACUAAAAUUUAAUGUGUCAAAUGAUCUGGUGACUAUUAUAAUGAAUAAUUGUGACUUAUUUUUCAUUCUCUCCUGGGUCAUCAGGUUUCCUGACCCAACUCCUUAAUCCGUAUAAAGAUGUCAAAUACUGUAGUUCACCCACGCCACAGCCCUGCUUCAGACUUAACUGUGGUAGCCUAGAUGAGCUAUUUGUACACAGAGGAAAAAAAGAUAUUUUCCUCUUUUAGUAAUAAGACUUUCAGUAUUUUUAAUGUUGACAUUUCCAGAUGUUUCAUUUAGUAUCCAGGGGUCUGUCUGGAGACUUCUAGAGAGGGACAGCUCAGAAGUGAGACCCUUGAGCUCUGGUGCUGUAAGCUUGUGCAAUUAAGUUGAACAGAGCCUGGGAAUUUCUUUCCUCUGCACAGUCCCUUGAUAUUUGGAAUCCAGGUUCUGCCCCCAACCCCUACCCACCCAGUGGUCUGUUAAGAUGUCUCAGAUGGGGCUGGGCUUGGUGGCUCAUGCCUGUACUCUCAACACUUUGGGAAGCAAAGGCAGGCAGAUCACAAGGUCAGGAGUUCAGCCUAACCAACAUGGUGAAACCGUGUCUCUACUAAAAAUACAAAAAUUAGCCAGGCGUGGUGGUGCACACCUGUAAUCCCAGCACUUUGGGAGGCCGAGGCAGACGGGUCACUUGAGGCCAGGAGUUCGAGACCAGCCUGGGCAAUAUGGCGAGACUCCGUCUCUACUACAAAUACAAAAGUUAGCCUGGCAUGGUGGCGCAUGCCUGUAAUCUCAGUUACUCAGGAGGCUGAGGCAGGAGCAUCACUUCAACCCAGGAGGCAGAAGCUGCAGUCAGCCGAGGUGGCACCACUGCACUUCAGCCUGGGCAAGACUGGAGACUGCCUCAAAAAAAAAAGAAAAAAAAUGUUGGUACUUAGAUGAUACCAUGACGGCAACCUCCCCACCCCCACCCCGCAUUGAUAGGUAGUGCAGACCAGCCCUUGGAGGCACUUCUAAACAGUCUGCUCAGAAAUGUUUUCUGUUUCCUAUUCAAAUUGCUGUUUUGUCUCCUAUGUUUAAUCAUGUAUUUGCUAUUCUGCUUAUUUUUCUCAUUUGGUGGUAAUUUCAAGAAGAGCGUUUAUCCACUAUUGAUUUUCAAGAAAGAAACCAAGCAGCAUUGAAAUCAUGAGUAACAGAAUUCAGAACAUUGUAUGGUGGAAGUCAUUUGUGUCUGCAGCUGUUUUUUCACUUUACAAUAAAUAAGAGUAAAAAUUGAGAUCAUGUCAAAAAAUUAUUGCAGUUUUAAUCAUUAUGGCAUAGUUUCACUUCCCCUCCCCCCAUUAGAAUCAGUGGAGAUUUGUUCUUACUAGGGAAUUUUGGACUGCUGCCAUUUAAAACUUAGGUUUUUAUUUAAAGCAGUUGUGCAUUUUUGAGAAAAUGUAUUGGGAGUAACUAGAGAGGAUCUCCCAAAUUUUUUUGUAUGUCUCUCUAGGAGUAAACAUGGCAACAGUUUUUCUAGAACGUGGACUCACUGCAGGGACUGGACCCAAUGGCAUUGUUAAGACCCUAAAAUCUAGCCACCACCUGCCUCCCCCAGGUUUCCACACACCCAGUUGGAAGGCCUUUCCCUGCCCUUGUCCCUGUCUCACACCCAUGGAGGUUAAGCUACAGAGCUGGGGAAACAGGAGAUUUUGAGUUAAUGGCAGCCUCACAAAUAGUGCUUCUGAAUUUCUCUGAGGGUCAGCAUACCUCAUGGGAGUGUGUUGCUCAGUGCAACCUUGGAAAAGUGGGAAUGGCACCAGACGUUUUUCAGGUGCCUCUUGCAAUUCAAACUUACAUCCUCUAUACCGUCCUAAAAUUUGCCUGAUCUUAUUUGGUAGAUUUCAAGUUGCUUUCAGCUGUGACCGUAAUAACUGUUUCAGGAACUGGAGAAAUAGUGGAAGUGCUAUUGCCGCGCUGCAUGUAAAGCACAGGAGCAAAGAUUCGAUACAAUUAGACCCUUUAAGCUACAACGUGGUUGCAUUUGGGGAGUCUGAUACCCACAUAGGUAUCACAUUUUCUCUGCCUGGGGUUAAUUUGUUCUUAUUAUUCUAGGUAAGAAAUUGAUAGCUUGUUAUGCUUGGUACUCAUUCUGAAAUCCCUGUGUGUCCACCAGGCAGACUUCAAGCAAUCUCUACCUACUAUUAUAUCUGCCAAAACUACCAAUUAUUUUUCAAUGUCAGAAGUUAUUAGAGCCACUGGCAAAGCUCAUGGUUGAAUAUGACAUUUUUCUGCUUUUCCCUCUAAGAAGUUUUUGAGAAUGUUAAUGUUGAAGUAUGCAGGCUGGACCUACCAGCAAGUUUAACACGUUAAUUAGGUUAAAAAGAAUAUUAAAAGGCAAUAAUUAAAUAUUUCAAUUAUUUUGUAAUUAUAAUGGUAUCAAAUAAGAUGCAAAAGAAGUUGAUGCUUAUUGGUGCUUAAGAGAAUUACAAUACUGGUUUUAUGAGCAUCUUUUCUCUGCAACAGUUAAACUGCCUCAGAGUUUGUGAAUUGCUGCAAUUCCUGGAAUGGAAACAGGAAUUAGGGUCACUGGUUGAUUGGCACAGGAUCUUUCCAUCGUUUCUGCUCCUGACCUCUCUCUCUUGCCUUUCCUUCCCCCAGACACCCUCUUGGUUUCCAUUCCUUUAGUUCCCUCUGCUUUAGAACACAGAUUACAUGUUGGAAAGAAAAAUGGAUUAAUGGUAAAAUUUCUAAAAGCUAAAUUGUACAGUGGGGUCUCACUUCCUAGAAGAAACUAUUGGUAAUAUUUCUUUCUAAAGGUAAUAGUAUUAAUUGUAUCUGGUUUUCUUCAAAACUUAACUAUAAUUUCCUUGUCAGGGUGCUCAGUAGCUCUUGGUUUGACUUUGGGCUAAGGGAUGUGAAAUUUUAGCUCCUUCCCACCACCUGUUUCCCCUCACUCCCACCCCCAGCCAAUAUUCUUCAUAAGCAAAAAUUAUGGUUAAGCUAAGCUGAAUGGGUUAUAUUCAAAGUAAGUACAGACGGCAAAUAGGCAGACAAAUACAGGAAUGUCUUUACAAUUAGCCCACCAUGGACUGUUUUGAGUCUCUGCAUGGUUUCCAUAAUUCAUUAUGAUGUAUCUUUAUGCUCUUUCACUGCUCUUCUGUGCGUUGGAGUUUAGCAAUUCAGUGAGACUGGGGAGUGUCUCAAGAAUGGAACCUUUGCCUUCAAGGUUGGGUCAUCAAAAAUCCCUCUAAAGGAUCUAACUGUAAUGAACUGUUUUUAUUUUUGCCAUUAGUGCAAGUAUCAACUGGCAGCCUCAAACAGCUUUAGACUAUGUCUCAGGUCUCUCAUAGUUAUACUUAGAACUGCUCUUUCUUGAAGCUAAAAGAGGUUUUUGGAGUAAAGAUCUGCUUCAUGUCUGCUAGCAUGGUAUCUGCUGUUCAACCUAGUAUAGAGCAUGUGAAAUGCAACUGUCCUUUAAUGGAAUUCAGCCAAACUCCAAAAAUACUGAGUUGCUUCUAGUUAUCUAAAGUAGUACAGAAUCACUAUCCCGAUGAAGAAGUGGGGUUUUUCAGAAGAUUGUAAACUCAUUUCCAUGGCACAGAUACAAAUCAUCGUCAGGACUUGUUAGCCAGUCCAUGUCUCAUUGAUAGGAUGUAGCCUGCCAUCUGCAUAGAUGGUUUAACAUGGUGCUGUUUUUGAAAACUUGCUGUGGAAAUAAAUUUGACAGACGAGUAGUUAUUUGUAAAGCUGUCCUAGAAAGAGGUUAAUUCUUUUGGUAUAUGAAUAUUUCUCCUCCAAUCCUUUUAAUUAGGUGGUUCAGCUUAUCUUGUAUUUUCUGAGUCAUAACUAUACUCUAGGGCCAAGACCUACUAUAAAAUCUGGGGUCCUAACCAGAGAGUUGUUUAGAUCAAUAUGAUAUGCUUUGCCAACAUGAUCUAAGAAGGUAUUCAUUCUUUCUGGGUUUGAGAAGAGUUGACGAAAGUGUAAGAUUAUACUCUCAUGCUAAAAUAAGGUAUAGGCUAAGUGAAAUACUGUAAAUGGGUUGGUUAGAAUUAAAGUUUAGAACUCUAAAUCUUAUGCUUAUUUUUAAAGUAAAAAGUUGCCUCACUGUCAUGAAAUCCUGUUACUUUCAUUAAAAAAAAAAAUCCUGUAAAAUGGUCAAAUUGGAUAAUGUAAGAGAUAAUGAUGGCUUUGAGGCAUUUCAUACUUUACCAGUUUACAUUUGGCUAGCAGACUGGUAAGGUUUAGGGUUCUCUCCACUAAUGGAAAAUUAAAUGCUAAACGUCCUAAGAAUUAUGUUGUUUUCAAGGCUUUGACUCAGAUUUGUACUUUGAUGUAUGAAAGUGAAUAUCAAACUUGUUUAUAGAAAAGACUAUAUAGAAAAAUAAGUCUGUGUUGUGUAUAGUGAUACAUGUUUUAUGUUUACCCAAUGCCUGUACUAAAUCUUGUGCUUGGCUUUGAAUUAUAUAUGUGUUUACCUAUGACUUUUUUUUGAAAUAAACAGAACAGUCAUCUAAAAACAUAAGGUUUUGGAAAGGAGAUGCUUUUUCAAUUCUUACCAUCUGAUUAGGUGGAAUGUUUUAUAGACUUUUGGUGUUGAAAAAAAAAAGUUUGAUAACAAUGCAUUUUGCUUGGAAUACCCCCCAAUCCAGAAAAGUUGGUGACUUCUCUCCAUUGUAUAUAUGUACAUAGUUUUCAUUACUAGAUUGUAAGCUCCUCAAGGGCAGGAAUUGUUUUAUCUUUGUUGUUCCUGCAGCACCUAAUGUAAAGUGCCUUGCACAGGGUAGGUGCUCAUGACGUGUAGAAUGAGUGAGUAACUUCCUGCCUCAUCAGGAUGAAAUGUGGUUCACUUCCCCUGUGUUCAACACUACAAAGCUACUCCUGCCAGAAGAGGGCAGAGUUCUUUCUUGGGUUUGAACUGGCUUUUUUGGGUUGAACCAGAUCAUCCCACAUCCUUAGCACUACUUAACCUUCUUUUCCUGAAGAUUACAUAUCAGUGUCCUGCGUUUUUAUCUAAUAUUAGAGCUGAGGUUCCUAGGAAAAUUUUGAAGUGGGGAAGAUUAUGGAGAAAAUGAAAUGGAAAUUUGGGGAGGGUGGUUUGUCAGUAUAAGGCCCUGUGGGGUAAUCAUAUUUUAGUUAUUACUUGUUAAAAGGGUAACAGAACCUCUGUUUCUUUACCAAGUCGCUGGUUGGCCAUUUCUCCAAUUGAUGAACUACCAUUGGUUUUAGCUCUUUCUCAUUUGGGAUUCCCCUCAAUUGCUUACAUGAUUCUGGUACUUAGAGUCUAAUAGAGUUGCUGUGAAUAUGUAGUGCUGUACAUAAUGGCAGUUUUGUAAAUGUGAGAUAACCUUGAAUAUGUUGUGGUUUGUAUACAGAGCCAUUAGUAUUGUUAUUUUGGCCACUUUUUUAUUCAAAAUAAAUAACAUAAUUAUUUGUAUA